rnacentral:rRNA from 1 species
UAGGGAAUAUUGGGCAAUGGGCGAAAGCCUGACCCAGCAACGCCGCGUGUGUGAUGAAGGCCUUCGGGUCGUAAAGCACUUUUCUGGGAGAUGAGAAAGGACAGUAUCCCAGGAAUAAGUCUCGGCUAACUACGUGCCAGCAGCCGCGGUAAAACGUAGGAGGCGAGCGUUAUCCGGAUUCACUGGGCGUAAAGCGCGUGCAGGUGGCGCGGUAAGUUGGGCGUGAAAUCUCCCGGCUCAACUGGGAGAGGUCGUCCAAUACUACCGUGCUUGAGAGCAGAAGAGGAAGAUGGAAUUCCCGGUGUAGUGGUGAAAUGCGUAGAUAUCGGGAGGAACACCAGUGGCGAAGGCGAUCUUCUGGUCUGUUUCUGACACUCAGACGCGACAGCUAGGGUAGUAAACGGGAUUAGAGACCCCGGUAAUCCUAGCCGUAAACGAUGUGAACUUGGCGUUGGUGGGUUAAACUCCGAUCAGUGCCGUAGCAAACGCGAUAAG